GACGAACGCUAGCGGCAGGCUUAACACAUGCAAGUCGAGGGGCAGCACGAUGUAGCAAUACAUUGGUGGCGACCGGCGCACGGGUGCGUAACACGUAUGGAACCUGCCCUGUACUGGGAGAUAGCCCUCCGAAAGGAGGAUUAAUAUCCCAUAAUAGCUUGGGUGGCAUCACCUGGGUUUGAAAGCUCCGGCGGUACAGGAUGGCCAUGCGCACGAUUAGCUAGUUGGUGAGGUAACAGGUCACCAAGGCUACGAUCGUUAGGGGGCCUGGGAGGGUUAUCCCCCACGCUGGUACUGGGACACGGACCAGACUCCUACGGGAGGCAGCAGUGAGGAAUAUUGCGCAAUGGAGGAAACUCUGACGCAGCCAUGCCGCGUGCAGGAAGAAGGCGCUACGCGUUGUAAACUGCUUUUAACCGGGAAGAAACCCUCCGACGUGUCGGAGGUUGACGGUACCGGAGGAAUAAGCACCGGCUAACUUCGUGCCAGCAGCCGCAGUAA
rnacentral:rRNA from 1 species